GGAACCCAGGCAGUAGCAUCGUUUCACAAUGUUUCCAUCAUCAUCAUCAGUGGAUGCCUUUGCCGUCCGUAGCCUGAGAUUUCAGAUUUGCAGCAAAAAAAAUUUGAUUUUCUCAUUUAUUGGAAUGCUGUGCAGGUUGAACCUUGCAGCCAUCCAUUACAAUGUCACCAAGCCGUAACAAAAGCAGGAGAGGGAAAGUACAAGGCUUUGUUCCCAAAACACACAAGUGACAUACCUUAUGUGGAUGAUGUGAUCAGGCUUGUGUUUGAUGAGGUAUUUGAAGAUAAGCUGAAGGAAACCCCGAUUCCAAUGGACCUGGCAUCACAGUUUGAGAGACCUUCAAAGGAGGACGUGAUUGCAUGCCAUCUUCAGUG